AUGAUAAAUAUUUACAGUAGAAGAUGCCAAAAGAACCAAACAGUAAGUCACCAUCUUGAUGCCUACUUGAAAGUCGUUGGUUUUAAGAUUUCUCGUAGACAAAAACAUUGCUCACAGACAAAGAUGAUGGAUGAAAAGUUGCAUAAAUUCUAUAAUCACCAUUGA